AGCAUAUCAAUAAGCGGAGGAAAAGAAACCAACAGGGAUUGCCCUAGUAACGGCGAGUGAAGCGGCAACAGCUCAAAUUUGAAAUCUGGCUCCUUCGGGGUCCGAGUUGUAAUUUGCAGAGGGUGCUUUGGCGUUGGCGGCGGUCUAAGUUCCUUGGAACAGGACAUCACAGAGGGUGAGAAUCCCGUACGUGGUCGCCUGCCUUCGCCGUGUAAAGCCCCUUCGACGAGUCGAGUUGUUUGGGAAUGCAGCUCUAAAUGGGAGGUAAAUUUCUUCUAAAGCUAAAUACCGGCCAGAGACCGAUAGCGCACAAGUAGAGUGAUCGAAAGAUGAAAAGCACUUUGGAAAGAGAGUCAAACAGCACGUGAAAUUGUUAUAAGGGAAGCGCUUGCAGCCAGACUUGCCUGUAGUUGCUCACCUGGGCUUUUGCCCGGGGCACUCUUCUGCAGGCAGGCCAGCAUCAGUUUGGGCGGUCGGAUAAAGGCCUCUGACACGUACUUCCUUUCGGGGUUGACAUAUAGGGGAGGCGUAAUGCGACCAGCCUGGACUGAGGUCCGCGCAUCUGCUAGGAUGCUGGCGUAAUGGCUGUAAGCGGCCCGUCUUGAAACACGGACCAAGGAGUCUAACAUCUAUGCGAGUGUUUGGGUGUCAAGCCCGAGCGCGUAAUGAAAGUGAACGGAGGUGGGAACCCCUCGGGGCGCACCAUCGACCGAUCCUGAUGUCUUCGGAUGGAUUUGAGUAAGAGCAUAGCUGUUGGGACCCGAAAGAUGGUGAACUAUGCUUGAAUAGGGUGAAGCCAGAGGAAACUCUGGUGGAGGCUCGCAGCGGUUCUGACGUGCAAAUCGAUCGUCAAAUUUGGGCAUAGGGGCGAAAGACUAAUC
rnacentral:rRNA from 1 species